rnacentral:rRNA from 1 species
AGUGGCGGACGGGUGAGUAACGCGUGAACAAUCUGCCCUAUACAGAGGAAUAGCCUCGGGAAACCGGGAUUAAAACCGCAUAAUACUUUAGUAUCGCAUGAUACAAAAGUCAAAUUGAUUAGAGGUAUAGGAUGAGUUCGCGUCUGAUUAGCUAGUUGGUGGGGUAAAGGCCCACCAAGGCGACGAUCAGUAGCCGGCCUGAGAGGGUGAACGGCCACACUGGAACUGAGACACGGUCCAGACUCCUACGGGAGGCAGCAGUGGGGAAUAUUGCACAAUGGGGGAAACCCUGAUGCAGCGACGCCGCGUGAGUGAAGAAGGUCUUCGGAUCGUAAAACUCUGUCCUUGGUGACGAAAAAAAUGACGGUAGCCAAGGAGGAAGCCCCGGCUAACUACGUGCCAGCAGCCGCGGUAAUACGUAGGGGGCGAGCGUUGUCCGGAUUUACUGGGCGUAAAGGGUGAGUAGGCGGUAAUAUGUGUCAGAUGUAAAAGGCUAAGGCUUAACCAUAGUUAGCAUUUGAAACUGUAUUACUUGAGUGCAGGAGAGGUAAGUGGAAUUCCUAGUGUAGCGGUGAAAUGCGUAGAUAUUAGGAGGAACACCAGUGGCGAAGGCGACUUACUGGACUGUAACUGACGCUGAGUCACGAAAGCGUGGGUAGCAAACAGGAUUAGAUACCCUGGUAGUCCACGCU